ACCAGGCCUUGACAUGCAGAGAACUUUCCAGAGAUGGAUUGGUGCCUUCGGGAACUCUGACACAGGUGCUGCACGGCUGUCGUCAGCUCGUGUCGUGAGAUGUUGGGUUAAGUCCCGUAACGAGCGCAACCCUUGUCCUUAGUUACCAGCACGUUAUGGUGGGCACUCUAAGGAGACUGCCGGUGACAAACCGGAGGAAGGUGGGGAUGACGUCAAGUCAUCAUGGCCCUUACGGCCUGGGCUACACACGUGCUACAAUGGUCGGUACAAAGGGUUGCCAAGCCGCGAGGUGGAGCUAAUCCCAUAAAACCGAUCGUAGUCCGGAUCGCAGUCUGCAACUCGACUGCGUGAAGUCGGAAUCGCUAGUAAUCGUGAAUCAGAAUGUCACGGUGAAUACGUUCCCGGGCCUU
rnacentral:rRNA from 1 species